rnacentral:rRNA from 1 species
AGGACGAACGCUGGCGGCGUGCUUAACACAUGCAAGUCGAGCGGAAAGGCCCUUCGGGGUACUCGAGCGGCGAACGGGUGAGUAACACGUGAGUAACCUGCCCCUAGCUCUGGGAUAGCUCCGGGAAACCGGGAUUAAUACCAGAUACGACCACUUUAGACAUCUUUUGUGGUGGAAAGGAUUCCGGCUAGGGAUGGGCUCGCGGCCUAUCAGCUUGGUUGGUGGGGUAACGGCCUACCAAGGCGACGACGGGUAG